GAUGAAGAACGCAGCGAAAUGCGAUAAGUAGUGUGAAUUGCAGAAUUCAGUGAAUCAUCGAAUCUUUGAACGCACAUUGCGCCCCUUGGUAUUCCAUGGGGCAUGCCUGUUCGAGCGUCAUUUGUACCUUCAAGCUUUGCUUGGUGUUGGGUGUUUGUCUCGCCUUUGCGUGUAGACUCGCCUUAAAAUAAUUGGCAGCCGGCGUAUUGAUUUCGGAGCGCAGUACAUCUCGCGCUUUGCACUCAUAACGACAGCGUCCAAAAGUACAUUUUACACUCUUGACCUCGGAUCAGGUAGGGAUACCCGCUGAACUUAAGCAUAUCAAUAAGCGGAAGA
rnacentral:misc_RNA from 1 species